rnacentral:rRNA from 1 species
AUUGAACGCUGGCGGCAGGCCUAACACAUGCAAGUCGAACGGCAGCACAGAAGAGCUUGCUCUUUGGGUGGCGAGUGGCGGACGGGUGAGUAACACGUAGGAAUCUACCCAGUAGUGGGGGAUAACCUGGGGAAACCCAGGCUAAUACCGCAUACGCCCUGAGGGGGAAAGCGGGGGGAUCUUCGGACCUCGCGCUAUUGGAUGAGCCUGCGUCGGAUUAGCUAGUUGGUGGGGUAAGGGCCCACCAAGGCGACGAUCCGUAGCUGGUCUGAGAGGAUGACCAGUCACACCGGAACUGAGACACGGUCCGGACUCCUACGGGAGGCAGCAGUGGGGAAUAUUGGACAAUGGGCGCAAGCCUGAUCCAGCCAUGCCGCGUGGGUGAAGAAGGCUCGGUGUAAGCCUUGGUCGGGUAGGAAGGGGACAGUUC